AGAGUUUGAUCCUGGCUCAGGAUGAACGCUAGCGGCAGGCUUAACACAUGCAAGUCGAGGGGCAGCGCGAGGUAGCAAUACUUUGGCGGCGACCGGCGGACGGGUGAGUAACGCGUGAGCAACAUGCCCCUACCUGGAGGAUAGUCACUGGAAACGGUGCGUAAUACUCCAUAUCUCGAGAUGUGGCAUCGCAUUUUGAGGAAAGAUUCAUUGGGUAGGGAUUGGUUCGCGUCUGAUUAGGUAGACGGCGGGGUAACGGCCCACCGUGCCGACGAUCAGUAGGGGUUCUGAGAGGAAGGUCCCCCACAUUGGAACUGAGAACGGUCCAGACUCCUACGGGAGGCAGCAGUGAGGAAUAUUGGACAAUGGCCGGAAGGCUGAUCCAGCCAUGCCGCGUGAAGGAAGAAGGCCCUAUGGGUCGUAAACAUCUUUUGUCGGGGGGCAAUAAGGUCUACGAGUAGACCGAUGAGAGUACCCGGCGAAUAAGCAUCGGCUAACUCCGUGCCAGCAGCCGCGGUAAUACGGAGGAUGCGAGCGUUAUCCGGAUUUAUUGGGUUUAAAGGGUGCGUAGGCGGUUGUUUAAGCGCGAGGUGAAAAGCAUGGGCUCAACCCAUGUCGUGCCUCGCGAACUGGACGGCUGGAAUGCCCCCUGCNGCGGGAGGAAUGGGCAGUGUAGCGGUGAAAUGCAUAGAUAUUGCCCAGAACACCGAUUGCGAAGGCAUCUCGCGAAGGGGUUAUUGACGCUGAGGCACGAAAGCGUGGGGAUCGAACAGGAUUAGAUACCCUGGUAGUCCACGCAGUAAACGAUGAUGGCUAACCGUUGGCACGAACGUGUCAGUGGCCAAGCGAAAGCGAUAAGCCAUCCACCUGGGGAGUACGACCGCAAGGUUGAAACUCAAAGGAAUUGACGGGGGCCCGCACAAGCGGAGGAACAUGUGGUUUAAUUCGAUGAUACGCGAGGAACCUUACCCGGGCUCGAACGGCUGGUGAAGAGAUCCAGAGAUGGUGACGUCCUUCGGGACACCAGUCGAGGUGCUGCAUGGUUGUCGUCAGCUCGUGCCGUGAGGUGUCGGCUCAAGUGCCAUAACGAGCGCAACCCUUGUCGUCAGUUACCAUCAAGUAGUGUUGGGGACUCUGGCGAGACUGCCACCGCAAGGUGAGAGGAAGGGGGGGAUGACGUCAAAUCAGCACGGCCCUUACGUCCGGGGCGACACACGUGUUACAAUGGGGGAGACAGAAGGCAUCUGCCUGGCGACAGGUGGGGAAUCCGAAAAAAUCCCUCUCAGUUCGGAUCGGAGUCUGCAACUCGACUCCGUGAAGUUGGAUUCGCUAGUAAUCGCGCAUCAGCCAUGGCGCGGUGAAUACGUUCCCGGGCCUUGUACACACCGCCCGUCAAGCCAUGGAAGCCUGGGGCGCCUGAAGUCCGUGACCGAAAGGAGCGGCCUAGGGCGAAACAGGUAACUGGGGCUAAGUCGUAACAAGGUAGCC
rnacentral:rRNA from 1 species